AAACAUUCCAAGCCCCAUCCUUUUGUGCAGGCAUCUCGCUGUCUGCGCUGGGCACGGAGCGGCGCGCGCGCGCCCGUCUUUCCCUCGGCGGCCCCCGCGGCUCGGACCCGGGCCGGCAGACAGGCCAUCCAUCAUCCGCCCUCCUCCCGCGGAGCGCCGCAGCCGCCGCGGCCAAUCCGGCGGCAGGUGGGGCCGCACCUGCGCGACAGCCCGCCGCUUCCCUCCGCUCCCUUCGCCGCGCCUCGCGUGCUAGCGGUGCCCUUGUGAGCCACUGCGUUCUCCAAGGCCAGAACGGGACAGUUGACGAUGGUCGUACUUCUCCAUGUUCUGAGACCAGUUUAAACAAAAACAAAAACCAGACAACAACCUUGCAAGGGAAAGAAUUCAGAGUAAAUAAACAGUCUUUUUCUGGGAAGUAAAAUAUUUCCCUAAGAUGGAGAAAUUGAGAUGAGAGCUCAUCCACAAGAUUACCCAUCAAUGAGCACCAAUAGCAACCAAAUCCACUAGAAGACUGGGAGCUUUUAAGUCAAGAAACUUACAUCAGUAUCAUCAUUCCAAGAAGCGGUAUCCAAGCUGUUUUAUCGAAAGUGCGCAUGGGAGAUAAGACUCUGAGAAUUUAUAGAAACAAACAUUAGAAGGCAGGAAUGUGGAGAGAAGAAAGCUACCUGACAAGGGAAUCUCAGGAUACAAGGAAAACACCAAGAGUCAUCUUCUGUGGAUUGCAGAGGGAACAUCUUCACUUGUUGGGAAGUUAGGCUCCAUUUUUUCUGAGGACCCAUUUAAGCUGUGGUUGGACAGUUCCGUAAAUUAUCAAGACAAGGUUUAGAGUAGGCCAGUCACUGAGUGGCUGCCCUCUUGAGGGGAAGCCUAAGCCUGAGAAUGGAGACAUUUACAACGUGGGGGAAGAACACCUGGCUUCCUUGCUCCAUCACAGAAACACAUCUCAACACAUCCAAGGUUAUGAGAAGUCCCCAUGAGUCCCUACAGCCACAAUAAAUUGAAUUCUGCCAAAAAUCUUAAUAAGCUUGGAAGAAGACCUUCAGCUCCUGAUGAGAACCCAGCCAGAAACAAGAUGAGAACCCAGAAACAAGAUUUUCAUCUUAUUUCAACCUGAGCAGAGAACCCAGAGGAGCCCUGGCCAGAUUUUUGGUCUACAGGAUUGAGAAGACACCUGCCUGAGGGUCUUAUAGCUAAUGGACUGCAGAAGACUUGAGUCAUCAUUCAAAUUCAGUAGCCAUCCUCUGAUGUCCAGUUGAAGAUUGGUGAUUCCAGAAUAGCUCGCAUUGCCCCAGUUGACUUGCCACACAGCUUCUUUCAGGACUUGAAAAUGUCCUAGCCACCCCCAUCUUACCUCCUACUUCCAAUGCCUUUUAAGAUAGAAAACAAAAAACAAAACAACAAAAAAACACCAGCCACCCUUGUGGGUUAGAUAAUCCUACAUCAAGGUGAAUUCUUGAUAACCAGUUCUGUUCUUCCUUAUGUCUUGUAAACAUGCUAAUUAGAAGGAGCUUGUGUUUGAAGAUCAAGGGAGGAAGAAUUCUGAAGCCAGGGCUAGCCUUAGGGGACAUAACUCCUUCCAGUCACUUCCUGAAUUUUUUGGUACCUGGCUUUUGAGAGUCCUCCAAAGUGAGAAUUUCAUGACAUGUAACCUCUCAACACCUGCAUUUUAAAAAAUUGUCCAAAAUACCGCAGAUACCACAGAAAAGUCCAAAACUUAAGUUUUUCCCUCCACUCAGAGCAUCUUAGCAACAUACUAACCAUAAGACUCUAAGCGCUCUUACCCUCAAUGCAAUUCUCACUGAAUAUCCUGUCAGGAGAACUCUACCUCUCUUCCAUGUUAUUAAGGUUAUUGUUCUUUGCAAGGUGUACACAACACAAAUAUAUUUCUUGGUGAAUGAACUCACUCUCAAAGACUGCUGUCCUUGGGGAUAUAGCCAACAUGCCAUAUCCACAACAUAGGUCUUCUUUACAGUCCUGUUGAAACAUGUAAGAUCAGCUACUAAGUCCCUGCAUCUCAGACAGGAACUUAAUAGAGUACAUUUAAAAAAAAAA
ensembl:lncRNA LETR1 lymphatic endothelial transcriptional regulator lncRNA 1